UAGGGAAUCUUCCACAAUGGACGCAAGUCUGAUGGAGCAACGCCGCGUGAGUGAAGAAGGUCUUCGGAUCGUAAAGCUCUGUUGUUGGUGAAGAAGGAUAGAGGCAGUAACUGGUCUUUAUUUGACGGUAAUCAACCAGAAAGUCACGGCUAACUACGUGCCAGCAGCCGCGGUAAUACGUAGGUGGCAAGCGUUGUCCGGAUUUAUUGGGCGUAAAGCGAGCGCAGGCGGAAUGAUAAGUCUGAUGUGAAAGCCCACAGCUCAACCGUGGAACUGCAUCGGAAACUGUCAUUCUUGAGUGCAGAAGAGGAGAGUGGAACUCCAUGUGUAGCGGUGGAAUGCGUAGAUAUAUGGAAGAACACCAGUGGCGAAGGCGGCUCUCUGGUCUGCAACUGACGCUGAGGCUCGAAAGCAUGGGUAGCGAACAGGAUUAGAUACCCUGGUAGUCCAUGCCGUAAACGAUGAGCGCUAGGUGUUGGGGACUUUCCGGUCCUCAGUGCCGCAGCAAACGCAUUAAGCGCUCCG
rnacentral:rRNA from 1 species